AUAUUUUUUGGAUAUUUGAGCGCGUUUGUGUGUUAUAGAGAGGCGUUAAAUCCUGAGCGCUUCCCUCGGCAGAGCCUACUUUCGCUGUGUUUUGAAAACGGAGUGAGCAAUGGCACUCUUACUGUAAAGGAAGAAAAAGAAGAAGGGGUUCGGGGAAGCGGCCACAGCUCCUGCGAGCAGCGCACGUCUCCGUGCAGUUUUGCCUGCUUGCUGCUCUAACCCUGCCCGGCGUAAGGGCUCGCCCGUCUCCUCGUUGGCUCGGGGCGCGCCUCGGCCGGAGGGAGCCUCGGAAGGAGGGCUUCUUGUACUGAAGAACUGGACAAGUCCGCUCGCACAGUAUGCGUGUGUCAUUUGUUAUUUUUAAAUACAAUAGCCUAUUAUUUCACGUCGUUGUCUCCGGGAGAUGGUGGCGGCCCCCCAUUUCAUGAGAGAAAGGAGAAAGCGUUCCCAGCCCAUUGUGUGGUUAUGUCACAGGAAACUGUUUGUGCUGCGCAUUGUGUUGCAUCUCCAAAUCCCACCAAGUUCCACUUCGCUCUGCUUCAAAAGUUGCUGGGGCCGGUGUCACGGCAAUUGGGUAACCGGCAUUGUCCGGGCGAUGGGCGGGCGCGACUCUCCGGGCCGCGGGGAGCAUUCCUGAGGCAGGGAAAUCUCCGUGCCAGCGCGGUUUGCGCUGCUUUGCCCUUCCCGAGUGACACGC
ensembl:lncRNA